rnacentral:rRNA from 1 species
CACGCUGUAAACGAUGAUCACUCGUUGUUGGGUAGUAAUACUCAGUGGCUAAGCGAAAGCGAUAAGUGAUCCACCUGGGGAGUACGAUCGCAAGGUUGAAACUCAAAGGAAUUGACGGGGGCCCGCACAAGCGGAGGAGCAUGUGGUUUAAUUCGAUGAUACGCGAGGAACCUUACCCGGGCUUGAACGUAAGACGAAUAUACAGGAAACUGUAUAGCCUACGGGCGUCUUGCGAGGUGC